rnacentral:tRNA from 1 species
AAGUUUAUAGUUUACAAAAAAAUAUUGAUCUUGUAAAUCAAAGAUGAUUUUUCUAAACUUG